UUUCACAUCUGCNAAUUGGAAUGAGAACAAUUUAAAUCCCUUAUCGAGGAUCCNUUGGAGGGCAAGUCUGGUGCCANCAGCCGCGGAUAAUACUANCCUCCAAUANCGUAUAUAAAAGUUGUUGCANUUAAAAAGCUCNUAGUUGGAUUUCUGGCGUUGGGGCCGCCGGCCCGGCAUCCUAGUGGUGCUGUGUUGUUGGUUGGUCUCCGCCAUCUUUUCGGAAGAACCAGCGUGCCCUUCACUGGGUGGNGUUGGCGACUCCGAUCUUUUACUUUGAAAAAAUUAGAGUGUUCAAAGCAGGCUUACGCUGUGAAUACAUUAGCAUGGAAUAAUAACAUAGGACUUUGGUCUUAUUUUGUUGGUUUCUAGGACUGAAGUAAUGAUUGAUAGGGAUAGUUGGGGGUGCUCGUAUUCAGGGGCCAGAGGUGAAAUUCUAUGAUUCCCUGAAGACGGACUUAUGCGAAAGCAUUCACCAAGGAUGUCUUCUUUAAUCAAGAACGAAAGUUGGGGGAUCGAAGACGAUCAGAUACCGUCGUAGUCUCAACCAUAAACGAUGCCGACUCGGGAUCGGUGGACGUUAUUACAUGACUCCAUCGGCACCGUAUGAGAAAUCAUAAGUCUUUGGGUUCCNGGGGGAGUAUGGUCGCAAGGCUGAAACUUAAAGGA
rnacentral:rRNA from 1 species